ACAAAGUCUUUCAAAUGAAGGUAGAAAGUGAAAGGAAACAAGAUCUGAGAGCUGUGGCACGUUGUAUCCUGUAAUAAAGGACAGGGAAAGUAGAAUUCUCUAAGCAUUCAUGAAGAAAUCCAGAGCUUAGUGCCAUAUUCCAAAAAUAAAUCAGAAGAAUCUGUGUACAGGAAGCUUCUGGCUGCUGUUGCACAAGUGAGGAUGUCCCAAUGCUCAGCUCUUUCCCAAGCUUUCUGGCUCUGGAUGGAGGUGGGAGCUGUGGACUUAGGACUUCUAAAAAAAGAAAGAGACAUGGAGAAAGACAAUCACGCAAACAGGACAAAUAGCAGCCAGUGUAAGUCUGAGGAGCUGUGACGCACCCCAGGAAAACUACAGAGCAAGCUUGGGUGAUGACAAUG